CCCCUCUCAGAGUUGCACCUGGAGAGUUUCUAGUACUCUACCAGUCUCAACUACGGGAGGGAGAAUCAAGCAGAGGCAUAUCGAUUCCAUUCCUAGCUUGGCCAGUGGCUAGCGAAUGGCAGGCAAUCUGCUCCAAGU